rfam:Puccinia graminis f. sp. tritici CRL 75-36-700-3 supercont2.51 genomic scaffold, whole genome shotgun sequence.
GGGUCUGUAGCCUAGUUGGUAAAGGAAGCACUUAUGUGACUUGGCAUUGCUGGGGUUGUGAGUUCAAAUCUCACCAGGCACA